CAGGAGGGUUUUUAUUGCUGAGCAUGUCUCAGAAUGGAGGACCACAUCUCAAGAGGGAAUGAAAGGGACUGUGAAAGUGCUGUCGCAGAUUCCGAGAAUCUCCCCUUCAGAACACUAGGCAAACAAUAACAAGCCUCAUCAGAAUAUCCCUUCAAUAUUAUGCAAGUCUCCAGCAUGAGCUUGUACAGAAUGUUAAGUCAAAUAUUACCUUCCAAGAGAUUCAAGAAUAUCAUCUACUAAAGCUAGAAGUUCAAGAAUCAAAAUGAUUAUUCCAAGGGACCAUAAUUCUACCAGAUGCUGGUCACAGCACAGUACAAAUGAGGAAAAGAGGAUCAUCCCAAUCCCAGCCUUCACAUCCAUAUAUUUUCCUCAUGUCAGAAGAAACUUCCCAUAUGAGAAAACUGAAGUCCAAAAUGACAGGAUCAGGUGCUCCAGGAGGAUGACGACUGAGAGCACAGGGCGUGGGCCCCUUUGUUUAUCCAGUUAAGAGAAAAGAAGUCCAUUCAGGCUUGCCAGAGUGUGGACCAACCUCUCCAUUACCAAAGAAAUGCCAUCUGAUCCUUGAACAACCAGAGACGGAGCUCUGGCAAGUAUUUCCAUGCCCAGCCUCUGCAUUUUCCCCCUUGCC